rnacentral:rRNA from 1 species
GAUCAUGGCUCAGGAUGAACGCUAGCUACAGGCUUAACACAUGCAAGUCGAGGGGCAGCAUGUUGGUUGCUUGCAACCGAUGAUGGCGACCGGCGCACGGGUGAGUAACGCGUAUCCAACCUACCCUUGUCCAUCGGAUAACCCGUCGAAAGGCGGCCUAACACGAUAUGCGGUUCACAGCAGGCAUCUAACGUGAACGAAAUGUGAAGGAGAAGGAGUGGGGAUGCGU